rnacentral:rRNA from 1 species
GAUGAACGCUGGCGGCGUGCCUAAUACAUGCAAGUCGAGCGAACGGACGAGAAGCUUGCUUCUCUGAUGAUAGCGGCGGACGGGUGAGUAACACGUGGAUAACCUACCUAUAAGACUGGGAUAACUUCGGGAAACCGGAGCUAAUACCGGAUGAUAUUUUGAACCGCAUGGUUCAAAAGUGAAAGACGGUCUUGCUGUCACUUAUAGAUGGAUCCGCGCUGCAUUAGCUAGUUGGUAAGGUAACGGCUUACCAAGGCAACGAUGCAUAGCCGACCUGAGAGGGUGAUCGGCCACACUGGAACUGAGACACGGUCCAGACUCCUACGGGAGGCAGCAGUAGGGAAUCUUCCGCAAUGGGCGAAAGCCUGACGGAGCAACGCCGCGUGAGUGAUGAAGGUCUUCGGAUCGUAAAACUCUGUUAUUAGGGAAGAACAUAUGUGUAAGUAACUGUGCACAUCUUGACGGUACCUAAUCAGAAAGCCACGGCUAACUACGUG